rnacentral:rRNA from 1 species
AUUGAACGCUGGCGGCAGGCCUAACACAUGCAAGUCGAACGAGUGGCGGACGGGUGAGUAAUGUCUGGGAACCUGCCUGAUGGGGGGGGAUAACUACUGGAAACGGUAGCUAAUACCGAAUACCAUCAUAUGUGCCCCGAUGGGAUUAGCUAGUAGGUGGGGUAACGGCUCACCUAGGCGACGAUCCCUAGCUGGUCUGAGAGGGUGACCAGCCACACUGGAACUGAGACACGGUCCAGACUCCUACGGGAGGCAGCAGUGGGGAAUAUUGCACAAUGGGCGCAAGCCUGAUGCAGCCAUGCCGCGUGUAUGAAGAAGGCCUUCGGGUUGUAAAGUACUUUCAGCGGGGAGGCGUUACCCGCAGAAGAAGCACCGGCUAACUCCGUGCCAGCAGCCGCGGUAAUAC